rnacentral:piRNA from 1 species
UAGGAUUGGUAAAGAUCAUUCC